rnacentral:misc_RNA from 1 species
AACCUAGCACACCUGCGGUGUGUACCUGCGGAGGGAUCAUUAUAGUAUAUGGAAUCUCCAUUCUAUAAACCCACUCUGCGUAUCUUGUAACUGUUGCUUCCAUGGGACUUGGUUCCGCCACACCGGCUUCACGGCUGGUGAGCGCCCAUGGAAGGAGAAACAAAACUCUUCUUUGAAAUGUAGUCAGUCUGAACAAGUUUUUAUAAACGUUAAAACUUUUAACAACGGAUCUCAGAUCGG